UACGGGGGGGGCGAGCGUUGUCCGAAGUUACUGGGCGUAAAGCGCGUGUAGGCGGGUUGUUAAGUCCGCUGUGAAAGCCCGGUGCCCAACGCCGGAGGGUCGGUGGAUACUGGCAGUCUUGAAGUGGCUAGGGGGAAAUGGAAUUACCGGUGUAGCGGUGAAAUGCGUAGAUAUCGGUAGGAACACCAGUGGCGAAGGCGGUUUCCUGGAGCCCACUUGACGCUGAGACGCGAAAGCUGGGGGAGCAAACGGG
rnacentral:rRNA from 1 species